GUACUUCCCAUCUUUUGACAGCACCAUAUGCCAAGGGUUUGUAAGGAGAGUAGCAGAUCAGAAACCUUUGACUAGAGAAGAUGUGAAUGGAGACAGAUUCUGAUGAUGCCAUCAUUGGGAGGCAGGAUGACUAUAAGACACUAAUUCCUCAUCCAUAAAGAUUUCUACAAGUGGUUCAUUUGAAAUGAAUACAGAUUUCAUUACAAGACGUGUGCAUGGUGCAACAUCCUGGAUGGUGUGUAGUAUGUUUGUUAACAUGUGAAGCCUACGUGUAUUUCAGGGAGUUGUCUCCCAUGUUAAGAUCAGUAAUGGCGGAUAUACAAUGCAGUAUGCUGUCUGGUCAUCAACAGAGAGUUUAGACACCCGUAUUUCUACCAAUCACCUCUGUAACCUUUGUUGUGUUCAUCAGAUAGAUUCACCAGAUGCAGCUGCUCCAUCUCCAUCACUGGUGAAAUGGGAAAUGACUAGUGGACGGUCAUCACUUUGUAACUCACCAUUUUGCAGCCCAUCUCUUCUCAUCUUCAGUGGUGGCCUCUGGAGGAAUGGUUGCAGUGCAGUCUUUGUGUCUUAGGCAGAUAACUUCCUUUCCUUUGCUUCUCAGUUUUUAGCUCAACUCAACGAAAUUGGGGAACCUUAUGUGAUACCCUCAGCAUUGGUGUUGGUGUCCCAGGUUAAAGUUUUUGGAGCAGAGUUCUUUUUAACUAUGAAAAUGAAGAACUGGAGAGGAUCUUGAUUGAUUUUUCUUGGUAAGUUUGGAAGUUUAUUCCUUCU